CUUCCCGUGUGUGCCCGUCUCUUAUCUCCAACAGUCCUAAAAAAAAGUCUCUUAUCUCCAACGGUCCGAAGCGGAACACGACGGCCGCCACGAUCCUCGCCGCCACGGCCGGGGAGAAUCGAGGAUGUGCGGGCCGCAGGCGAGCGGCGCCACGGCUUCGUGAGUGGUGGGGGCGGAUGGACACGGACGAGCACCUCUACCUGCUGGGCUCCUGACGCUCCCCGUCUCCCGCUUCGACGCCGACAAGGUAGGCAAGAACGUGUGGCGGCGAUCUCAUUCCACCUCUUCACGCAGAUCACGCAGGGCCUUCAGCAAGCAGCUUCCAUGACCGCUUGUGUGGUUGAAGAUGGAAACGAGCCUGAACCGGAACCUGAUUAGUGACGUGUUGUGUGGUCACCCUCUUGGGGACGUUGUCGGGGAGCUCAGGUUCCUUCCGGUUACGGCACGGCGACGUCUUUGGGAGGCUUGGAUCAUUGUUUGAAGCAUCUUCGUGUGUGGCAGUCUCAUCGCCAGUAUUUUGGGAUCUUUCUGCUCGCUGACAUGGUCGACGCUCCACGUCAUGGAGCAAGAGGGCGGAGAGCCUCUUCGGUAACAGUUUGGUGUGGGCAGUGCGGCGAAGUCCGGUGGUUCCUCUACGAGACGCGAGUUCAUUCUUGGUUGGCUUCCGUGGUGCUUUUUUUUUUGUGUGUGGUUCAGCCCCUCCAGUGCUCAUCCUCCCGGAUGGUGGCGUCCAAUAGUGCAUCACUUGCUCAUUGUUUUCCGUUGCUUUCUUUGUUUAUC